rnacentral:rRNA from 1 species
UACGGAGGGUGCAAGCGUUAAUCGGAAUCACUGGGCGUAAAGCGCGCGUAGGUGGCUAUUUAAGUCAGAUGUGAAAGCCCUGGGCUCAACCUGGGAAUGGCAUUUGAUACUGGAUAGCUAGAGUAUGGUAGAGGUGAGUGGAAUUUCAGGUGUAGCGGUGAAAUGCGUAGAGAUCUGAAGGAACAUCAGUGGCGAAGGCGACUCACUGGGCCAUUACUGACACUGAGGUGCGAAAGCGUGGGUAGCAAACAGG